rnacentral:rRNA from 1 species
AACGAACGCUGGCGGCGCGCCUAAUACAUGCAAGUCGAGCGAGAAGACGUAGCAAUACGUUUGUAAAGCGGCGAACGGGUGAGGAAUACAUGGGUAACCUACCCUCGAGUGGGGAAUAACUAGCCGAAAGGUUAGCUAAUACCGCGUACGCUCUACGGAUGAAAGUGAGGGACCUUCGGGCCUCACGCGACCAGAUGAGCCGAUGUCGGAUUAGCUAGUUGGCGGGGUAACGGCCCGCCAAGGCGACGAUCCGUAGCUGGUCUGAGAGGAUGAUCAGCCACACUGGGACUGAGACACGGCCCAGACUCCUACGGGAGGCAGCAGUGGGGAAUCUUGGACAAUGGGCGCAAGCCUGAUCCAGCCAUGCCGCGUGGGUGAAGAAGGCCU